GACGAACGCUGGCGGCGUGCUUAACACAUGCAAGUCGAACGGAAAGGCCCUGCUUUUGUGGGGUGCUCGAGUGGCGAACGGGUGAGUAACACGUGAGUAACCUGCCCUUGACUUUGGGAUAACUUCAGGAAACUGGGGCUAAUACCGGAUAGGAGCUCCUGCUGCAUGGUGGGGGUUGGAAAGUUUCGGCGGUUGGGGAUGGACUCGCGGCCUAUCAGCUUGUUGGUGGGGUAGUGGCUACCAAGGCUUUGACGGGUAGCCGGCCUGAGAGGGUGACCGGCCACAUUGGGACUGAGAUACGGCCCAGACUCCUACGGGAGGCAGCAGUGGGGAAUAUUGCACAAUGGGCGGAAGCCUGAUGCAGCAACGCCGCGUGCGGGAUGACGGCCUUCGGGUUGUAAACCGCUUUCGCCUGUGACGAAGCGUGAGUGACGGUAAUGGGUAAAGAAGCACCGGCUAACUACGUG
rnacentral:rRNA from 1 species